rnacentral:tRNA from 2 species
GCGUCAUUAGUUCAGUGGUUAGAAUACGCCGUUGCCAACGGUGUGGCCCGGGUUCGAUUCCCGGAUGACGCA